rnacentral:rRNA from 1 species
GACGAACGCUGGCGGCGUGCUUAACACAUGCAAGUCGAACGGAAAGGCCCUGCUUUUGUGGGGUGCUCGAGUGGCGAACGGGUGAGUAACACGUGAGUAACCUGCCCUUGACUUUGGGAUAACUUCAGGAAACUGGGGCUAAUACCGGAUAGGAGCUCCUGCUGCAUGGUGGGGGUUGGAAAGUGUCGGCGGUUGGGGAUGGACUAGCGGCUUAUCAGCUUGUUGGUGGGGUAGUGGCUUACCAAGGCUUUGACGGGUAGCCGGCCUGAGAGGGUGACCGGCGACAUUGGGACUGAGAUACGGCCCAGAAUCCUACGGGAGGCAGCAGUGGGGAAUAUUGCACAAUGGGCGGAAGCCUGAUGCAGCAACGCCGCGUGCGGGAUGACGGCCUUCGGGUUGUAAACCGCUUUCGCAUGUGACGAAGAGUGAGUGACGGUAAUGGGUAAAGAAGCACCGGCUAACUACGUG